rnacentral:lncRNA from 1 species
CUCACCACUGUUGCCACCGCGGCAUUAAAAGCUACUUCAUCAUCCACCAAAGAAGAAAAGGCCUUGUGAGAACCGUCACCCUUCUUCGUCGAGGAUCCAAAACCAAACCCUUCUGAAGAACUUCUCCAUAGCUUCCAUUUCUUCUUGCUCUUAUCACCACCACCACCACCCCUCUCCUGUAAAAAAAUGAUAAAUAAGAAUCACAAAAGCAUAACUAAACACACACAAAGAAGAAGAUUGUGAUGAAGUUGCAAACUUGAUCGCUGGUGGAGGGCUUUCUGUGAGAUAUGAGUGAUUUAAACCAUUUUCCUGAGCCACCCAUUUGAGGAAAAACACUUGAGAGCAAAGGACAAAGAUCAGAUUUUUAUUGAUGGGGUUGUGAAAAAUGUGAAGAAUGCAAAAUGUUGUUGAGUUUUGGUUGGUUUAAUUAAGACUUAAGAGUGAAGAGGAGAUGAGAAGAAGGAAAGAGAAGUUUUUUUGAAAUUUGAAAUGUGUGCGAAAAAGUGUCC